AAGUUAUGGAGGCUGGGAAGACCUAGAAUGUGGCAUCACUAUUUGGUAAGAACCUUCCUAUGUCAUUGUAGAGUGAGGGACUUGGGUACCACAUGGCAAGGCAUAGUACCCAAAUCCCUUUCCUUCAUAAAAGUAUUAAUGUCAUCAAAGAGGCCCCACCACCAUGAUGCCAUCUGGGGCCUCAUGACCCCAAUGCCUGAUGCCAAAGACUCCCACCUCAAAAUACUUUUUUCUUCAGCAUAACAUUUUAUUAAUUAUCUGGGAAUUUCACAUCAUGUACUCCAAUCACACUCAGUUCCCAGUCCUUCCAUGUCAGCCCCCACCCUUGUUACUUGCCCCCCAAAAGAGGAAAAUUAAAACUAAGAAUUAAAAAAAAUUAAAAAAAUUAAAAUACACAAGUCCAAUUUAUGUUACCUAUAUACUCACUGAAGCAUGGUCAGAUUCUCAGUGGCCUGGCCCUUAAAUAGAAGUGAGUCUUCCCCCUCCUGCAUCUGAAGCCAUUAAUUGCGUAGAGCUACACUUCAACAUCUACAUCACACUUUCAAAGAGUUCUCUUCAGUGGAUUCCUGUUCUAGACCAUUACUUUGGAGACAGGGGUAGGGGAUUGUCACAAAAAGCCUUCCAUGUCCCUUCGUCUCAGUUGUACACCUGCAGUCAUCAAUAUCCCAGUGUAACUAGUCCCCUUGUUCUUCAUAGUUAGUGGA
rnacentral:lncRNA from 1 species